CAGCAACUGACUGGGUCGCACACUUCCAGUGUCUCCCUUUUCUUCUCUCUAAGAUCAAGCUGUCAUGCUUGCCAGCGUUGGACAGCCGUACUCCUUAAUCCCGCCAGCAAAUCAAGACAAUGCCAAGGUGAAUAAAGUGAGGCUCAGAAGACACAUGGCCAGUAUGGAAGAGUCAAGAUUUGGAACUCAGUCUUCUGGCUCCAAAGCAUGUGCUAUUUUCAUCAUAGCCACCAUCUCUAGAUGAUUUCAAACUCACUCCAUG